GUUUCAACAAGACGUCCAAUAUACAUGGCAAGUUUUCAAAGCAAAGAAACCGACCCUAAUUGGUACAUGGAACGUAAGAACCCGGAACCAAUGCUGUUCGAAAGGGAAAAAGGGAAAAGAAAACAAGAAAGCAUAAAAGUUAGAAAGGGAGACCAACCGUCUUCAAAACGAAAAAAAAAUUAUCAUGAAUAUCAGAAGCUAUCAACUACCAACUCUCAAAAACCACAAUUCUGUGUCCGCCAAUACAAACAGAAGAGACGUGCAUGUGUUGAAAGUGUUACCAAUACUAUUGUAUUGUUAGACCGACUGACGACUUGAUACCACAGGAUACAUGGGACGCUAAACAUUUGCUCUAAUCUGAAUUUAAACUCGAGCCUCCCACAUGGAAAGCCGACUUGUUAGCCACUGAGCUAUUCAAGUAGUUAAAACAAAAUAGAAGGUUUUAUAGGCUAUUAUUAGUUUUGAAAUAUUAGCAAACGAUCUAAUUCUCUAUACAAGGCUUAUAACUACUUAUCCUAAUACAUUUAAACAAAGUUAAUUAAUUAUGACUAAUUGAUUAAUUCAUUUUUUUUUAUUUGUGAUUGAUUCGUGUGUUGUCACCGAGCAUGAGCUUAUAUUCAAAAUUUGAUGUCGAUUUGGUGAGUAGAGAGGAUGGAAAAAUGAUUUCAAAAAUCUAAACAAGAAAGAUUAUAUAUACGGAGUUAGCUAAUAAACUUUGUAAAACGAACAUAGCUGAAACAGUUCAAACAGAAAUACACAACAAAAACAAGUAUUUUGAACUAUGGAUUGAAAUGAAUGUACACACGAUUUCAAGCUCUAGAAGCAACAAAAAAAAAAAAUAAUAAUAAUAAAAUAAAUUUAAAAACA